GGGCGCGUAGCUCAGCUGGGAGAGCAUCUGCCUUACAAGCAGAGGGUCACAGGUUCGAGCCCUGUCGUGCCCACCA
rnacentral:tRNA from 3 species